GCCAACCCCACGUCCGCAAGAGUAGCAGGGAGGGAUCCCACGCCGCGUAAUUAGCGCUAACAUCCCAUGUGAUGAGAGGCCAGAGGCCGUCCGCUCUGAGACCCAUGCCCUUGUGCGCUCACGAUGAAGAAUUUCGCGGUGCAUCGGCCGACGGCUGCUCUGGUCGCCGCCCCUACUCUUGAGGGCGCCGAGCGCCGAGAGGUUUAGGGAGUGGCCCAUCGAUGUCGUCCUCCUCUUCUUGGUGCCCUCCAUGGAUGUGGGAGACAAGGUCACCAGAUCCGUCGACGGCCGACCGAAGGGUCCCCGGAGGACGGCCGGCGGCCGGAGCCUCGCCAUCUACCUUCAACAGCCGUCACGUCGUCCUUACCGGCACGUCGUCCCCUUCCCAAUGUGGAAGAUAGCCUCACGGGAUUCAGAGGAGGUGCCUGUUUUGUUUGGGUGUUUUCUCGGUGUGGUACUGGUUGGGAUUCAGAGGAGGUGCGGUGGGGGGCAUUUUCUUCUGUAGGUGAACACUGAUCCCUUUUUAUUGGACCAGGCAUGGCAGAUUCUGUUCUUGCAAUCGAGUUUUUGCUACCCUUCAUUUACUUUAGCCAUAUCAAUGUGGUUCUAAACUUUGUAUACACGUUUGGAUUUGUGAGCAAAACGAGAUGGUGGUUCUAUUACCUCCCAGCCUGUACACCGGCACACACGUAACAGCUCAAUGAGGUGAGCGGUGGCAAAUUCAGUAGGAAGAUGAUCCCGGUGGAGGAGAUCCUGGCGACCGACGUGAAGUCGGGGUGGAAGAAGGGCAUGAAGGACACCUUAAAAGGAAUGAUCUGAUUUUUCCGGUAUAUAAGUAUGUAUUUUAAAAAGUUACUGGGUGUACUUUUUAUAUUAUCACUAUAAUCUUUGAAGUUAUAUUUCUAUACACCAUUUUAUUUGAAAAUAAGUUAUAAUUAAAUUUUCUGAAAAGAUUGUAUGAUGUUUCAUGUGUCUGAAUUGCAUUUUAGGUCAAAUAAGUUUGCUAGGUGCAGAGGAGCUAUGAGAAAAGUUGUUCAAAAACUGAAUGAACUUACUUUUUUUGUUCAGUAAUGGAGCUUGAUCAUGUAUUAGAAUGUGUCAAGAUCUGCAAGUUUGUGUUCUCCUAUUGAUAGCUUCUACGAUUUCUGAGUUUUUCUUUCUUGAUUUUUCAUCCAUUUGCUUUGUAGCAGUAUUUUCCCUUUAACUCCUCCUUGUUCUUCCGAGUUAACGCAGUAGCUGGUAUGGACACAUCAAAAAGGAAACAAUAAUACUUCCAAUACUAAAAGAGUUAUAGUCUGAGCCAUCUUUAGCAAGGAACCAUUACGUUGUUGUAGACGUCCAACUUGGUCAGGCCGGCGCCGGCCGAGCAGGAUAAACCUCCUGGCCAAGCCAGUGGCGUUAGCAAGGCGGACGACUGCUGUGGUGUGGAGGUGCGAUCUAUCAGGUAUCUCACUUUGUUUGUGGUCAAUUUUUUGUUUCAUGAAUUCAAAACAAGCGUGAAGAGGUGAAGAUACUGGCAUGAAGGAACCAUGAGAUGAGAACAGGAUGAGAACCGUUCUAUUGAUGACCAAUUGACCACUGUAAUUAUAUACUAAUGCAGCUACUGCAAGCUUUCUUUUUUAUUUAAUAUCUUUCAUUGUGACAACCUCUAAGAUUUUCAGCCAUCUCUUUAUAGGUACUAUAGGGAACUAAUUUUUGAGUUACUGGUGUUGUCCCUUUUAUUUUCUACUCAUACAGUGUUGCUAAUUUGGAGUAAGUACAGUAAAUCUACUGACUUGGAGUUCUUUAUUAUGUAGUCCAGUUUCUUCAUGCUUGCAUUUGUCCAUGUUUCUCUUCUAUUUCCAUCAUUGAGAAGUUAAGAUGUUGGUUUGGACGAUAUUUUGAUGUUGUUAGUUAGAGUAGGAUAUUCUCAUGUUCGUUGAUCAUUACAGGAUAAGGUUCACUGGAAAAUAUAUAUUCGACCUACCAGCUAUGAUGCUAGACGAUGAUAAUGGUUUACUCCGUUUGAUGCAAGAUGAGCUAAUCAGGGUGCUCGAUCUACAAGGGUCUGGGCCAAACUGAAUGCAGAUGUUGAGGUUAAUGAUACUACAGUGGCUCGAUCAUUGUCUCUUUGUAGUCAUUCAAGCAUGUUUUUGAAAAGGAAAAAAGAAUCGUUCGAAGCCUAAACAUGACAUGGUUACGGAGGUGUAAUGGCCAGCCAUGAGUUUGUGGCUGCAAUGCGGUGGUUCCUUACUGCCAGGGGUCCCGUGAUCACAGACAAACCGAACUAACAGUAAGGGAUACACUAUAUGUCUAUACCAUAUACUCUCUAUUGUGUACUAUGUCAAAAUCAAAAAGUGCCAUUCAGCUGAAUAAUAAGAUCUGUCUUGUAGAGA